CAGUGCAGGCCAUGACAUUGAGGAUUACCACAUGAAUUUAAACAUUUUCUGGAGUUUUUUUGUAUCUGAAGUUUUAAGCUGCUUUCCUUUUUGGAUUUGUCUGGCUUAUGCUCCUUUUUUAUAUAAAAUCUGCAAACUAAACAAGACUAAAAGGCUAGGCUAAUGAUCGCAAUGCCCUACUUACAGUAUGGUGUUUAUUUGGGAAAUGUAGUCGAAAACAACCAGCCUUUUCCUGAAGUACAAACAGGUGAAACAGGUUGGUUUCCAAACAAUGUCAAGCAGAAGUUCUUAAUGGUCGACAACUCCUUUAGGCACAAACACUUUUUUGAAAAGGAGGUCUGAGGAAAUUGCUCAGUUCGAUUUAAGGAUAUUGAAACCCAUAUAAUCACUACAACCAGGUGAGCAGAAAAUCAUCUUAGCAUGCACACAACACUACCCUUGAGAUGGAAGAAAGAAGACGACAUUUUGACCCACUACUGUCAGACAAAAACAGGAAUCAGAGGCCAGCGUUGGCACAGGCUCAACCAAACUGGACUGUUGAAGAUUAGGAAAACAAUCAAGUAGUCUUUUUUACAACAUUUUUAUCACUGUGCAAAUUCUUAAAUUGUUGCAUGAGAAAAUCACAGAAAAUAAGCAGUUUCUGAAAUACUUAAACCAAUCUAUCUGGCAACAUCCAUGCCACAGUUAAAGUUACAGAGCAAAAUGUUCCACAUAUUGAUGUAAGUGAAUAUUAACAGAAUCUUUGGACUGUGUCUGCAUGAGUUUAUGUAGCACGCUGAUGCCACAUUAUCGAUUAACUGCAUAAAUAAGCAGAUGUAAAGUACAGGUGUCCUAAUAAAGUCGAAAAUGUUUAAUAAAAAAGGUUCAUAUAACUGGGCCGUAACAUAUGAUGGUCUGUGCUGACUUAAAAAGCGUUUAACUCUUAUGCGCCAUGCCAGUGCGUCAGGCUGGAAAAUAAACUGCGCUAAACCAACGUCACAUCACAGCAGGAGAAGUGAGCUGUAGCUCCUUGUUACUUAAAUACUGAACUAUUAAAGGCGAGUAGGGGCCGUUUUGGGAGAAAAAUGUGUGUGUGUGUGUGUGUGUGUGUGUGUGUGUGUGUGUGUGUGUGUGUGUGUGUGUGUGUGUGUGUGU